AUUGAACGCUGGCGGAAUGCUUUACACAUGCAAGUCGAGCGGCAGCNCGGGGCAACCUGGCGGCGAGCGGCGAACGGGUGAGUAAUACAUCGGAACGUGCCCAGACGUGGGGGAUAACUACUCGAAAGAGUGGCUAAUACCGCAUACGAUCUGAGGAUGAAAGCGGGGGAUCGCAAGACCUCGCGCGUCUGGAGCGGCCGAUGGCAGAUUAGGUAGUUGGUGAGGUAAAGGCUUACCAAGCCUGCGAUCUGUAGCUGGUCUGAGAGGAUGAUCAGCCACACUGGGACUGAGACACGGCCCAGACUCCUACGGGAGGCAGCAGUGGGGAAUUUUGGACAAUGGGCGAAAGCCUGAUCCAGCCAUUCCGCGUGCAGGAUGAAGGCCCUCGGGUUGUAAACUGCUUUUGUACGGAACGAAAAAGCUCCGGCUAAUACCUGGAGUCCAUGACGGUACCGUAAGAAUAAGCACCGGCUAACUACGUG
rnacentral:rRNA from 1 species